UACGGAGGAUGCGAGCGUUAUCCGGAUUUAUUGGGUUUAAAGGGUGCGUAGGUGGUUUUUUAAGUCAGUGGUGAAAGUUUGUCGCUCAACGAUAAAAUUGCCAUUGAAACUGGGGAACUUGAGUAUGUUUGAGGUAGGCGGAAUGCGUGGUGUAGCGGUGAAAUGCAUAGAUAUCACGCAGAACUCCAAUUGCGAAGGCAGCUUACUAAACCAUAACUGACACUGAAGCACGAAAGCGUGGGUAUCAAACAGG
rnacentral:rRNA from 1 species